rnacentral:rRNA from 1 species
CUCCCGCCGGCGACCGGCGCACGGGUGAGUAACACGUAUGAAACCUGCCCGUAGCAGGGGGAUAAGCGGAAGAAAUUCCGUCUAAUACCGCGUAACAACCCGAGGAGGCAUCUCCUCGGGUUUAAAGGAAGCGAUUCCGGCUACGGAUGGUCAUGCGUCGCAUUAGCUAGUUGGCGGGGUAACGGCCCACCAAGGCGACGAUGCGUAGGGGUUCUGAGAGGAAGGUCCCCCCACACUGGUACUGAGACACGGACCAGACUCCUACGGGAGGCAGCAG